CGGGUGAGUAACGCGUGGGUAACCUGCCUUGUACAGGGGGAUAACAGUUGGAAACGGCUGCUAAUACCGCAUAAGCGCACGGCAUCGCAUGAUGCAGUGUGAAAAACUCCGGUGGUAUAAGAUGGACCCGCGUUGGAUUAGCUAGUUGGUGAGGUAACGGCCCACCAAGGCGACGAUCCAUAGCCGACCUGAGAGGGUGGCCGGCCACAUUGGGACUGAGACACGGCCCAA
rnacentral:rRNA from 1 species